rnacentral:rRNA from 3 species
UAAGGUCACGGCAAGACGAGCCGUUUAUCACUACGAACGAUAGGUGCUAGGUGGAGGUGCAGUAAUGUAUGCAGCUGAGGCAUCCUAACAGACCGAGAGGUUUGAAC